GGAGGGCGGAGUCAAGGGGACAGUUAAAAACAGUUGGGAGACUGAGAGUGAAUGAAGGAGGAGGUCAACGGAAAGGUUGACUACAAUGCUGAGCUGGUGCCUGAGAGUAGAAAGAAGGAGCAGCUGUGGAAGAUUGGACCUCUGAAACCUGAAAGACCGUGUAUCCUGUGAUGUCGACAGUGAGCUCCCCAUCUCGAUGGGCUGGCAUUGGUAGUGAUUUGUAUGGAGAGCUGUAGAGGUUGGAAGGGUCUGCCUACCAUCAAAUGAGGGAGGAACGUCCACCAG